GUGGAGAUGAUGGAAAAUAGAGUACAGCCAUCCUAUGAUGGACACGUGCAUGAGAAGUACGGAAAUAGAGACUCAAAGAAACUUGAGUGGAUAAACCACUGGUUAAGGUUCACAGCUGGUUGAAGGAAGAAAGCAAGUGAAAAGAAAAAGAUCCUCAAAGGUGUGCAUCUUAUAGGAAUAUGGAGGACUGAGCACCAAUAAACUGUACCUGGAGACUGAGUAAAACUGAGGGGAGAGCACACAG